rnacentral:rRNA from 1 species
UACGUAGGGGGCAAGCGUUGUCCGGAUUUAUUGGGCGUAAAGAGCGUGUAGGCGGUUAGGUAGGUCCGUUGUGAAAACUCGAGGCUCAACCUCGAGACGCCGAUGGAAACCAUCUGACUAGAGUCCGGAAGAGGAGAGUGGAAUUCCUGGUGUAGCGGUGAAAUGCGCAGAUAUCAGGAAGAACACCCGUGGCUAAGGCGGCUCACUGGUCCGGUACUGACGCUGAGGUGCGAAAGCGUGGGGAGCAAACAGG